rnacentral:rRNA from 1 species
AGAACGAACGCUGGCGGCAGGCCUAACACAUGCAAGUCGAGCGCUGUAGCAAUACAGAGCGGCGCACGGGUGAGUAACGCGUGGGAACAUACCUUUUGGUUCGGAACAACCCAGGGAAACUUGGGCUAAUACCGGAUAAGCCCUUACGGGGAAAGAUUUAUCGCCGAAAGAUUGGCCCGCGUCUGAUUAGCUAGUUGGUGAGGUAACGGCUCACCAAGGCGACGAUCAGUAGCUGGUCUGAGAGGAUGAUCAGCCACAUUGGGACUGAGACACGGCCCAAACUCCUACGGGAGGCAGCAGUGGGGAAUAUUGGACAAUGGGCGCAAGCCUGAUCCAGCCAUGCCGCGUGAGUGAUGAAGGCCCUAGGGUUGUAAAGCUCUUUUGUGCGGGAAGAUAAUGACGGUACCGCAAGAAUAAGCCCCGGCUAACUUCGUGCCAGCAGCCGC